CCUACGGGAGGCAGCAGUGAGGAAUAUUGGUCAAUGGGCGCGAGCCUGAACCAGCCAAGUCGCGUGAGGGAAGACGGUCCUAUGGAUUGUAACCUCUUUUGUCGGGGAGCAAAAGACGCCACGCGUGGCGUUCCGAGAGUACCCGACGAAAAAGCAUCGGCCAACUCCGUGCCAGCAGCCGCGGUAAUACUGAGGAUGAGUGCGUUAACCGGGUGUAUGGGGUGUAAAGGGGGCGCAGGCGGAAGAAAAAGGCAGCGGUAAAAUUGAGGGGCUCAACCUCUUCGUGCCGUUGAAACUGGUUUUCUUGAGUGAGUGAGAAGUAUGCGGAAUUCGUGGUGUAGCGGUGAAAUGCAUAGAUAUCCCGCAGAACUCCGAUUGCGAAGGCAGCAUACCGGCGCUCAACUGACGCUCAUGCACGAAAGUGUGGGUAGCGAACAGGAUUAGAUACCCUUGUAGUC
rnacentral:rRNA from 1 species